UUACACAUAUUUAGUUCUUCAUUUUGAUUGGUGCCUCGGUUAGAUUAAUAGUUUGAUGAUCCAAGUUUGAUUAAUAGUUCUUCAUUUCUAGGGUUUCACCGUCUUCUCCCUCUCUUCGCAUCGCCUCUCAAACAUCUUCAUCCAAGAUUGGAUCACCGAUGAUAGCAGAUUCUCUACAAACACAAAUCAGUUGUUGAUAAACAAUGAAUUUUAGGGAUAAUAAUAAAGAUGAAAGGUCCGAUAGAGAUCUUUGAAACCGUUUCUUCAUACCGGCAGUUGGUACCGUAUCACAAUUUAGUUGAGACAUUGAUAAAAAGAUAAAUUUGUUUCAUCUGAUGUAUUAUUUUUUGUUUAUAUGUGAGCAGGUUGUUCGUUUCUUUUCAGUGUAUCUUUUGUUUUGAUGCUGAAGUUAAUAGAUUUGAUUAUGAUCGUUAUAAAUUUUUGCAAUGUAUCAAGUCAUAUUGGUUCAGCA